UACGUAGGGGGCUAGCGUUGUCCGGAUUUAUUGGGCGUAAAGAGCGUGUAGGCGGCCAGGUAGGUCUGCUGUGAAAACUCGAGGCUUAACCUCGAGAUGUCGGCGGAAACCAUCUGGCUAGAGUCCGGAAGAGGAGAGUGGGUAAGUCCUGGUGUGAGCGGUGAAAUGCGCAGAUAUCAGGAAGAACACCCGUGGCGAAGGCGGCUCUCUGGGACGGUACUGACGCUGAGACGCGAAAGCGUGGGGAGCGAACAGG
rnacentral:rRNA from 1 species